rnacentral:RNase_P_RNA from 1 species
AGGCGUGGCCGUGGCGGCCGCGUGUCUCCCCGUGAGACACGAGGAAAGUCCGAACACGGCAGGACACGGUGGUGGGUAACACCCACCCGUCCGACGGGCGACCGACGGACGCGGGACAGUGCCACAGAAAGCAAACCGCCGAUGGCCCGCAAGGGCACAGGCAAGGGUGAAAGGGUGCGGUAAGAGCGCACCGCUCCGCUGGCGACAGCGGGGGCACGGUAAACCCCACCGCGUGCAAGGCCAAGCAGUCGGGUCUGCAGACGCAGGCGAGUCGUCCGCUCGCUCCGCAAGGAACCCGGCGGGUAGGCCGCUCGAGCCGGUCGGCAACGACCGGCCUGGAGAAAUGGCCGCCGUCCGCCCACCCCGGCGGAUCACAGAAUUCGGCUUACGAGCCACGCCCCGAA